AGUGAACGCUGGCGGUAGGCCUAACACAUGCAAGUCGAACGGCAGCACAGUAAGAGCUUGCUCUUACGGGUGGCGAGUGGCGGACGGGUGAGGAAUACAUCGGAAUCUACUUUUUCGUGGGGGAUAACGUAGGGAAACUUACGCUAAUACCGCAUACGACCUACGGGUGAAAGCAGGGGAUCUUCGGACCUUGCGCGAUUGAAUGAGCCGAUGUCGGAUUAGCUAGUUGGCGGGGUAAAGGCCCACCAAGGCGACGAUCCGUAGCUGGUCUGAGAGGAUGAUCAGCAAAAGUGGAACUGAGAAACGGUCCAGACUCCUACGGGGGGCAGCAGUGGGGAAUAUUGGACAAUGGGCGCAAGCCUGAUCCAGCCAUACCGCGUGGGUGAAGAAGGCCUUCGGGUUGUAAAGCCCUUUUGUUGGGAAAGAAAAGCAGCAGGUUAAUACCCCGCUGUUCUGACGGUACCAAAAGAAUAAGCACCGGCUAACUUCGU
rnacentral:rRNA from 1 species